rnacentral:rRNA from 1 species
CAGACUCCUACGGGAGGCAGCAGUGGGGAAUAUUGCGCAAUGGGGGGAACCCUGACGCAGCCAUGCCGCGUGAAUGAAGAAGGCCUUCGGGUUGUAAAGUUCUUUCGGUAUUGAGGAAGGUUGGUGUGUUAAUAGCGCAUCAAAUUGACGUUAAAUACAGAAGAAGCACCGGCUAACUCCGUGCCAGCAGCCGCGGUAAUACGGAGGGUGCGAGCGUUAAUCGGAAUAACUGGGCGUAAAGGGCACGCAGGCGGACUUUUAAGUGAGGUGUGAAAUCCCCGGGCUUAACCUGGGAAUUGCAUUUCAGACUGGGGGUCUAGAGUACUUUAGGGAGGGGUAGAAUUCCACGUGUAGCGGUGAAAUGCGUAGAGAUGUGGAGGAAUACCGAAGGCGAAGGCAGCCCCUUGGGAAUGUACUGACGCUCAUGUGCGAAAGCGUGGGGAGCAAACAGGAUUAGAUACCCUGGUAGUCCACGCUGUAAACGCUGUCGAUUUGGGGAUUGAGCUUAAAGCUUGGUGCCCGAAGCUAACGUGAUAAAUCGACCGCCUGGGGAGUACGGCCGCAAGGUUAAAACUCAAAUGAAUUGACGGGGGCCCGCACAAG